GUGCCAGCAGCCGCGGUAAUACGGAGGAUCCAAGCGUUAUCCGGAUUUAUUGGGUUUAAAGGGUGCGUAGGCGGCUUAUUAAGUCAGGGGUGAAAGACGGUGGCUCAACCAUCGCAGUGCCCUUGAUACUGAUGAGCUUGAAUGAACUAGAGGUAGGCGGAAUGUGACAAGUAGCGGUGAAAUGCAUAGAUAUGUCACAGAACACCGAUUGCGAAGGCAGCUUACUAAUGGUUUUAUUGACGCUGAGGCACGAAAGCGUGGGGAUCAAACAGGAUUAGAUACCCUGGUAGUCC
rnacentral:rRNA from 1 species